rnacentral:lncRNA from 1 species
AGCAAGGUGGUGGUGUUGCUGUCUCUAGUGGUUGGUGCCGCUGCCCAGAGCGCUAAUAAUGUGAGGGCCACCUACCAUUACUAUAAUCCGGAGCAAAAUGGAUGGGACUUGAACGCAGUGAGCGCCUACUGCUCCACUUGGGAUGCCAGCAAGCCCUUGGCAUGGCGCAGCAAGUAUGGAUAGACUGCCUUCUGUGGACCUUCUGGCCCUACUGGCCAAGCUACCUGUGGCAGGUGCCUUAGGGUAAGAUUCUAAUUAUCAAACAAUGUCUCUCUCUCUCUCUCUCUCUCUCUCUCUCUCUGUAACAUGUAUAUAUAACCUGAACAAUUUGAGGUGUGCAGGUGACAAACACUGCCACAGGAACUCAGGCAACAGUGAGAAUAGUGGACCAAUGCAGCAAUGGAGGAUUGGAUUUGGAUGCCGGAGUGUUCAAUCAACAAGACACUAAUGGGGUUGGCUAUGCCCAAGGCCAUCUUAUAGUCAAAUUACCAGUUCGUGCACUGUGUUGAAGAUCUGUGUGUAUUUCAUUUAUCAUAAAAUUUUGAAAUUUUUGUACUGAUUACUAGUUUGCGAGAGAAGUACAGUCAAACCCUCUUCCACUGGCAUAUAGUGGGCACAAACAUAUGUUCAUACUUAGCUGAUGAGUUAUGUGACCAUCGAGGCAAUUGUAGAAAGAAAUUUUGGAGUAGUAUAUCAAAUCUUAUCCAAAUCAACAUAGAACAUCCCCUAUAGUGUCUCAUUAUGCCCCAAAUUUAUUUGAUCACAUCAGAUUUUAGGAUCUUCAACCCCUUUUGAGUGAUAUAUAUAUCAUAGUAAUGCCUCCCUGUCAACUAUAUAUUUAUAUUCAUAGCCAUAUUGCAGCAUCUAGGCAUUAAAUAACUUGUUGGCAGUGAGCACAAACAUGACUAUGUUACCAAAAAGUCUUCUCAUUGCCCCUCAUGCCAUUUGAUUUUUGGUUUACUUGCUUUCUCAACAUUGCCCCUUUAGAUUGAAUCAAACAUGAUCACCAUAAGAAACAUGCAAGAGUAGCAUACAUCAUGCCUCUAUUUCAUGACAUGGUCAAAAGUUGUAUUGAGCAUAGCAAAAUAUUGGAUCAUUCAAAGUAUAAUUAUCUAUAAGGACUUGGAUAAUUAAGAAGUAUAGAUUCAUUCUUCCACUUUCUCAUCUUGGUCACCAAUUAAGCACAUGCAAUAAGAAAUACAUGUAUGGUGGAGCUCUCUUCUUAGUGCUCAAAACUAGUGCUUUUCCACAUGUAAAAGAAGGUUUUUAUAAAGUUUUUCGGUUCAAAUCAUUAUUUUUAAACUUAAAUAUAUGCUUAGCCCUUAUUUGUGGGACUAAUGUUUGAAUCUAGUAUAAAAGGCAGCAAAAAGUGGGUAAAAAACACAAAUCAAGCAAAUAUCAAGACAACCCAAAUACCCAAGGGUAAUGGGAGGAAGGUGGAGAUGCUGGAAAUUCAUGAGAGAGGGAUGAAGAUGCACAAAAAUAUGAAAAACGCAAGGAAAGGGAGGAGAGGUUUAAAAUGCUAGUUGCAAAUUGACACACAAAUUGAUGAAAGGAAGAAGUUAAAGAGGAUUUCGACACAAGAAAGGGUGUAAUAAAUAGUGCAAAAUUUGCUCCCAACACAUAAUUUCAACAUCAAAUUGGUAACAAUAAGGCAUGGUAUCAGAGUUUUGAUACGAGGCAUAAAAUGGACUUCAACUUUAUUUCGAUACUAAAAUUGAUACUAAACCUACUUUUGAUACCAAAAUGAUACCAUGUCCAAUUUCGGUACCAAAUCAACCCAGGCUUAUGUAUUAUUUCUAGGCAGAAACCUUCAAAUUUUGGGAUUUCAUUAUCAAAAUGAAUUGAUACCACUUUGAUGUAAGCUGUAGAUUUCGACAAACACACAAAAAUAUAAUUUGAGUUGAUUAGGAUAUUUUUAAAUUGUGAAUUUAUUGAAAAUCAACAUUGGAAGCAUCACAUUGAAGAGAUUCGAUUUUGAUACAGGGAAGUUCCAUUUUUUAUUACUUAAUUUUCAAUACAAGGCCAUUUUUUGUGUCAAAAUUUUGGCACCAAGUCUAUCUAAUGUUGCCUUUGAUCUUAGGAUGACCCAUUUUUACUUAUUUCUUUUUGGGGAUGUAUUUUUCAAACAUUGUCUACUAAUGUGUUAUUUUAGAAUUUAAUUCUAAUUAAGAUUAAGGUUACAACAUAUAUACGCGCGCACACAUAUAUAUAUAUUCUUCUUGCCAAUGAACAAUGGGUUGCGAAAAGGAAUUUUUCAUCAUGCUUGGUUAAUUUCUUUUCAAUUUGAUCAAGAUAUAGCAAGGAAAAUGGAUAUCUAUCCCGGAAAUCAUAGAGAAAAAAGAUAACUUUUCUUAUGGUUCCCAUGUUUGAGUUUGAACUUCAUACAUAAAGUGGAUGCUUAUUAGGGGUCUAGUGAUGCUUUCAUUCACUUGAUCAAUGGCUAACUUGAUUUGAUCUUUUGUUAUCAAAAUUUGAGGAGCAUCUACAAGAUGGAUAAAAAGUUUUUCGUGUAGAAAACGAAAAACUUGUUGUUCCACACAUACUUUUAAAAUAAACUUUUCCAAAAUUGAAAAACAAAAGAUUAAAAGUAGUUCCUUUUAUACAUUUGGGAUCUAAAUUGACUUGAAACACUCGAGUUUCAAAUUUAAACUUAUCUAUAUUGACUGUUCAUUCUUAGAAGAAAUAGUUUCCUUUUUUUUUUCUUUUGACUUUUCAUAUGUGGAAAUUGAGUUGGAAGGAAGGGGAUAGCAUAUUGGGUAUAAAAAAACCAAUCAGCAUAGAGUGCAUGAAAAUAUAAUAAUUUUUAGAAUGAGCAUAGCUUUCUUAAAUUUGGAAAAGUUAGGUUUUGAAAUCCUAAUUAUUUUCAAGCUUGCAACCCACAACAUGCUUUUCCCUUUAAAAUUUUUUUUGUAAGAAUUUGUUAAAAAUAAUUUGUUAUCUAUUAGUCAACUUAAUUAGUCAUAUGAUAAUUUUUACGCUUUCAAAUUUAAUGCUAAUAGUUUCUUUAUUAAGUAUCAAUCAAAGACAAUCGAUCUUGGCCAUAGGGAAUAAGAUAAGGGAACCCUUUAUGUGCUUGGAGAAGGAGAAAUUGAAGCCCUUAAUAUAGAGGAAGGAGCACCAUCAAUCAUUUGGCAUGCUCAUUUAGGGUAUCCAAAUUUAAAAUAUCUGCAAACAUUAGAAAAUAAGAAAGUUAUCCAUGUUCCAAAUUGGUUAACCAAAGAUACUUUUAGUUACAAGUUUCCAAGUUGGUAAAUGUUACAACCUUUUCUUCAAUAAAUCAUAUUCUCUUUCAAAAUUUCAUUUGGGAAAAAUCAUAGUGAUUUAAGAGGGCCUACUCCCACUCUUUCCUUUUAGAAAUCUCAAUAUGGUAUGUCCAUACUGUAGACCCUCCAUUUUUUUUCCUUUAACACAUGUCUUUAAGUUCACUUCCAAUGUCCCAUAGUAGUUCUUUAAUGGCCUAUUACUACUCAUGUAGCUUAUCUUUUUUGAGCCACUUUGGAGACUUUGAUUGAGGGGUUUAUCCAGCUCCACAUUAUGACCUUAGCUGCCCUUCAAGUUUAGAUUAGGCUUCACUUAGGUGCACUUUAGGUUAGACUUAGUUAGACCCACCGAGUCUCACCCUAGACCCGUAUAGGUAUACCCGGCCCAUUAGGCACCACCUUAGGCCUGUCUAGGUUCACUUAGGCCCACUUAAGCACACUUGGCCCAUUAGACAUUCUUAACAUGACUUGUAUGGUUGCAUGACUCAUUUAUCUCAUUCACUUAUUUAUUUAUUUUUAUUUAUUAUUAUUAUUAUCAAUUACUUUUAUUUAAUCAUUUAUUAUAUUUUAAUUUAUUUUCAUUGUUAUCAAUCACUUUUAUUUAUUUAGUUAUUUAUUGUUUUUUUAUUUAUUUGUUUAUUAUCUUGUUAUUUGUUCAUUUAUUAUUAUUAUUUUAUCAUUCUCCGAUUUAUUUAUUUAUUUUAUUCAUUUAUUUAAUUUAAUAAUUUGAAGUUUUUAUAGAAAAAUCUACCAAUGGAGAAGUUUUUGGAAAAGGUAGAACUCUUUAGGUGAUAUGCAUGGAAUGGUUUUUUGAAAUUUAAAAGGGAUUUUAUGGUGGAUGAGACAGAGAAUUUGGAAAGAAGAAGACUCCUGAGGUGGAAUGACUGCCAAUUGCUAUAAAAAGCAUAGGCAGAUGGGUUUUGGAGGAGGCAAAGAGAUAGAGAAAGAGAGGUUUUCAAAAAGAAAGAUUUUUUCAGCACACAUUGAUAAAGAGAGAGGGAGCUCAUCUGGGUCAUCAGGUUUAGUCAAAGAGAAUAGGAGUUCGUUAGUCUUUGGGGAAGCAGAAAAGGACUUUCAGGUAUGAUCCUCAUGGUUGCCUGUACAUUUCUUUUCAACAGUCUGAAUUUGUGUAUUAAUGCUAAAGAUCGUUUUUUAUUCUUGUUAUGGUUUGAGUAUGGAUUACUUGUGGCAUGGUCUUCGAACUCUUUCCCUUCCACACCAUUCCCUUCUCUUCUUUACUAUGUUUGGAUGUCGUUUGUUGGAUUACUGGUGACUUUGAAUGUUGAUUAUCCAUCUCUUGCUCAUCUGAUUUAGUAUGAGGAUGGUCUGAUUUCAUUUUAACUGCACUAUGCCUUGGAAAUCAUACGUUUGUUUAGAUUUUUUUUUUCUUUUAUUUCCCUCUACCACCCCUUUAAGCUCAUGGAUUACUCGUGAAAUGGCAUUUGAUUUGAAAAGAUUAUUCUUUUGUUUGUUGGUUUGUUUGUUUAUUUGUUUGUUAAUUAUAACCUUGAUCUUCUCCUUGUUUUCUUGAGUUUUUUUUUGUUUGGUUUUUUUCUGUUCUAUUUACUCUCCAUCCUUGGGUUUCUGCUUCACAUCAAAGAAAAGAGCCUACCGAAAUACAUUUGUUUGUUAGAAAAUAUUGGCCAUCUUUACAUAAUGGAUAGAGAUCACAAAAAACGGUAAUAGCAUCAUCACCAUAUCUCUGUUUUGAUACAUUUUCUCUCAUGGUCUGGGUCCCUUGAUUUUGACUUCCACCUUUUGAUUUCGGGAACUUGGAUGAGGAACCUAGCGGGUAAGUGCCAAGCUCUUCGGAUAGUGCUAAACCGAACCCAAGGAUAGCUGCAAGUUGCUUAGAUGUAAAUUCAUUAGGAAAUUGAGGAGAAAGUUGGCCAUGAGACUGCUUUUUGGGAAUUUACUUUCGUAAUUUUGUGAUAAUGCAAUCUAUUUUGAUAUAGGUCACAUCCUUGUUUAUGGGAGGUUAUCUUGCUACAGUUUCAUUGACCUUAUCAUGCUUGAGUAUCAUUCUAUCCUCAUGUGGAUGUUUUUUUUUAAAUCCCCCAAUCUCUGUUCUUCAUCACCUGUACCUUUUGUUGCAAACAUUUGGUUGGUUGUUGAGUUAUUUGUUGAACCUGUUUUUCUUUAUGAAUGGACUGGUCAACAUUUGGGGUUAUCUCGUUUGUCUUUCAUACCCAUUACAUGCAUCUUCCUAGAGAACAUAUAACCCAAGCUUAUGAAAUCCUGGAGAUGAUGGCUAAUCACAUCUGGAUGUGGGGUAUAUUGGUGAUGUUUGUCGGAAUGGUCUGGGUAUAUUGCGUCUUAGCCCCAAGUUCAUCCAUGUGGCACCGGCCUCCAAGCAUAGAAUUCUUAUUGGGUGACACGUGAGUGCUAGACUCUCAUUUUUUCAUGGCCAUGCAUGACCAUUUUUCUUCAUUCUCCCAUCUCAAUCACUAACCUCAACUUCACAACCAUGGUCUCUAAGCGAUACUAUUAUUGGAAAGAGAAUAGGAACAACACCCCAAUUCCAAUCCAAAACCAAAGAUUCCAUCAUGCAUAGCAUACCCACACUAAGAAGUUUGAGAAGCCUAAGCUAUCCGUGUGGAUUGUCGGCGUUCAAAAAAAUUGUGAACUCGUUGAUGUGGAGUUCAUGUAUGUUGCGAAAUGAACAAAAAAAAAAAGGUACAUUUUUGCAGGUCAUUAACACUUUCAGAUGCCUCUGAGGAAAUUAAAUUCAUGGGAUUGUACCCCAUAGCAUUAGCAGUUUGAUGUCUCUUGUUGCUUUGAGCUCUUUGUGAAAGUCCAUGCAUAAAAUGGUCAACGGUCUGCAUAUGGGCAGACAUGCUAUCAUCUUUCAUGCAAUCAACAAUGCUACAAGGGACAAAGUGCAUUUGGAAUUCAAUUUUAGCACACAACUCUACUGCCGCUAUGAAUGGACUCCAUUAACAACCGCAUCAAGGAUUGAAAACGAGAUGGUUUGCGUCCUCUUUGAAGCCAUGUUACAACAUGCAACAUAAGUAAUAUAGAAUCAACUAGCCUCCACAAACGAUCUUACCUACACGCAUCAUUCACUCAUUCUCAAGGGUAGUCACACCAUCCUCCUCUUUCUUUGUUUUGUUAAACGAUUCCAGCUUCCUUCAAAUUUCAUCCUUAAAGAGUUUCUAGAUUCAUAAAAAAUUCAGAUUUCAAGAAACCUCUUGUUGUCAUUUUCUCUCAUGGCAUUCUCACCAUUUUAUUUGAUUUUCAACUAUUCUCUUGUUUUUAUUUGAUUUUCAACAAGCAUGAACAAACUUCAUAGUGCCAAAUAAUGGAAUCAAUUGAACCAACUCAUGGAAAAGUAAUUUGGGACUUGAUGGAACCCCUACAUAAGAAAAAUUUUCAAAACUCUUCCUUGCUAACAGUUUUCAUUCAAUCAUUGACUUUCUAGAUUUAAAAUUCGUUUUAGCAACUUUAGAAUAUUUCACAAAAAUUUCUAAAACUUGUAUGAUUUUUCUCACGUCUUGAACUUAAAUUUAAAAUUCCGUUUGAGUUAGAAAGAGAUUCUAGAAUAGAAUAUAUAAAUGAGUAUUUAAGGGGCUUUGUUUUCACCUAGUUCUGGACACUCGAAAUCUUCCUGUAAAAAAUAAAAUAAUAGAUGACUUUUUAAAUUUGACUCGAUAUUUUUCCUUGAUUCUAGACUUCUUGAAAUUGAUCUUAGACAUAAAAUAUUAAAAAAAUAUGCAUUUUUGAGGGAGAUAUGAUUUUUCAAAUUCGUACCUACUGUACAUAAUGGAAUUUGGACAUCGGAUUAGUUGGAGUGUUUUAAAAAUAUUUUGAGUACUCUCCGACCUGGAUUUAUUUUUCCUGUGAUAUAGACACUUUGAACGAUGUGUGUGAUUUUUUGUAUGAUUUUAUGUGAUCUUUUAUUCUUUUUAAAAAAUUUGUUUAUGCAUGUCACCAUUUUUUUACCUAAUCUAAACCUUCUGGAACUUUUGGGUGUCUUUGCUGCAAUUUGACAUUUAAAUGAGUGUUUGGCUUUUGGUAUCUUGUUCUAGACGUAUAGGAGUUGUUUCCUGAAAUUUUUUUUGUAGUUAAAUUCCACUCUAAGAUAUUUUUUUCAAAAAUUGUUUUGUGAUACUUCAUUUUCUAACUGCAUGCUGAUGGUUUUAUACUUUACUUGGAAUUGUUAUUAUUUUUGGAGUCAUUUGAUUUAUCUUAGCUCAAUUUCGGUUUUGGUACUAUAUAUUAAACAUAUUAAAUAUGUUAUAUAAUAUAUACUUGUCCUAACCACUCUAGCCUUUUUUUGAGGAAUCUUAUAAAUUAUGCAUGUUAUCCAAGUACGCUCUCUAUGACUUACUUUUCAGAAUUCUAUGAACAUGCAUGUUGUUGUGAGCCUUAUUUACGCUUGAUGUGAUCCUUAGGUGCUUAGAUGUAUGCUUGGAUAAAAUACAUGUUGUGUGUUAUAUUUUUAUACUAAAUUUGAUGUUUUAUGAUAGCGCUUGAGAAACAAUUCAGGUACACACCCUAAAUCUUCUUUAUGAUUAUGAUUGGUUUUUUUUAUUUGGCAUGCUAUUUUUUUUAUUUUUUAUUUUUAAAUCACCUAGCAUACCUAGGUAUCUAUAAUCAACCAAUUAAUUGUCACAUUUCCCUCAACUUAGUCAGUAGAAACCUUUGUAGGGCUUAGAGGGGUGCUACCUUUUAGAGGUACCUUCCCAAUAAGUAACCUGAUCCCUGAACCUAGACUUGAGUUUUUCAAAUAUACGUUUUUCCAAAAACUAUGGAGUCACUUCUUUAAGGUUUUAUUUCUUGUUUUAUUUUCCCUUUUAAAAUAAAAUAAAAUAAGUGGCGACUCCAACUUUUACAAAACCAAUUUUUCACCAAUAAAAAUGAGUCUUGUCGAUUGAGUGGGGACGCAUGUGAAAAAUGCUGGUCCACACAUACACUAUGUUACUUGUUAUUUUAUUCAAUUCUUAUUGAUGAUUUUACAUGAUAAACAUGAUUGUAUCCUUUAAAAUAUAAAAAUGAUUUUUAUACUUGUUUCCUUUAAUUUCAAACAUGAAAAACUCUAGCCCAUGAUCUUAAGGUUGUAGAUGCUAUGAAUAACUGUGGAUGACAUGAAUGACUGACUCUUACACUCAGGCCUCUAUAUACUAUGACUAGCUCAAGGCUGUUAUUGAUUUGAAAUACUCUGUAUCAUCAACUCAAGGCUAUAGAUGCUAUGAAUAGCUUGAGGUUGGGGGUUGAAAUAAUCAACUCCAGGUCGUGAGCUAAAGGCUCUAGAUCCUAUGAAAAAGUUAAGGCUAUGUAUGAGAUGAACGACUCCGGGUCAUGAGCUCAGGCAUUUAGAGACUAUAAAUAGCUCAAGCCUAUGGUUGACAUGGAACACUCUGGUCAUGACCUUAAGGCUUUAGAUGCUAUGCACAACUCAAGGCUAUGGUUGAUAUGACCGAGCUCUUGUUGAGAAUCAAUUUGACAAGAAGAUCAAAAUUUUCAAAGUGACGAAGGUGAAGAAUUUACUUCAAAUGAAUUUAUAAAUCAUUUAACUCAGCAUGACAUUUCUCACCAACUUUCUUGUCCUCAAACCCCAAGACCAAAUGGGUGUGUAGAGCAAAAGCACUAACAUACAAUUUACCUUAUUAAUAUAUUGUUUCUUUCUUGCAACAAUAAAAAAAACUCCUUAUUUUAAAUUAUUUGAUAAGAAUCUUGUACUCUAAAUUGCAAAUUUUUGUAUCUCAAUGAUUUCCAUAUCUCAAAUAACUAUUCCUUGUGUGUGCGUUGGAUAUAGUCCUCUGCAUAAAAGUUAUAGAUUCUUCCACACCUUUCUCUCAUCAUUAGGAAAAUAAUUCAAAUGAACUUUUAUUAAUACCUCUUUGAUUUCACCACUUUUUUAUCUUCUCAUAACACCACAUCUAAUUCCCCUAAAAUUCUUCUAUAUCACAACUUGACCAUUCCUUCAUUUACGUCCACUUUUCCAAAAGAAAUAGUUACUUCUCUCAUGAUCACAUCAUCUCCUCCUCAUUGCUCUAUUCAAGAAAACCAACCACCUACCUAUCUCCAAGAUUUCAUUGGCCUCUUUAUUUCCAACUCUCCAAAAUCCCAUGAUGUUUUUCUUGUUUUCAUCAUUGAUGCAAAAACUUACAAAACAUCACUCAAAUACACAAAUUGUGUGAUGUCAUGCAAGAAGAAGUCAACACCUAACAUCAUAGUCACACUUGGUCACUUGUCCCACGACCACUUGAUUCCAACGUUAUUAGUUCUAAGUGGAUUUUUCACACUAAGCUAUAAGAAGAUGGUACUUUCGACAAAUUCAGAGCCCAUUUAGUUACAAAAGAUUACUCUCAAAUCCCAGGUCUUGAUGUUGGAGAAACACUUAAAACAAUUGGACAUAAAAAAUGCAUUUUUAUAUGGAGCACUCAAUGAACAUGUGUAUAUAUAGGGCAACCAUCAAGCUUUGUACAUCCAAAACUAUCAAAUCAUGUUAGUAUUCUUCAUAAAUCUCUUUAUAGCCUUAAACAAGUACCUCACACUUGGUUUAUGAAAUUCCUUCAUGCCGUCUCUCUAAUGGUUUUAUUUGGAACAAAGCAAAUUCAUCAUUAAUAUUUAUUAUAGCCAUGGUACUAACAUCAUUCUUUUACUUUAUUAUGUAAAUGGGGUAAUUAUCACAAAUAGUGCUUCUUUUAUUUCUCAUCUCAUCCAACGUCUCUCAAGGAGCUUGGCAAACUUCAUAACUUUCUUAGCUUUGAGAUUAAAUAUUUUCUUGGUGGACUUAUCCUCUCUUAGACCAAAUACACUUGUGAUUCUAGUCAAAGCAAGAAUGCUUGAUGCCUCCAAAAUUAAUACCCUAACAGCUCAAGAACCCAACCUUCUUCCAAACAACAAUGAGUUUUGACAAACCCUACUGAAUGCCAAUUAUGUGGCUCACUCCAAUAACUAACGUUCACUCAACUUGACCUUACUAAUGUACUAAAUCUUGCAUGCCGACACUUUCAAAAUCUAUCGAUGGAGGACCUUUGUGCUAUAAAAUGCAUUUUGUGCUAUAUAAAAUGAACUUUAACUCAUAGUCUUCAUUAUCUAUCUCAAAGCUCUCUCACCUUGAAUGAUGUAGAUUGGGUUAGUUGUCCAACCACUAGAGGAAGCACAACAAAAUUUUGCAUUUUUCUUGAGUUGAAUUGUGUGGUUUGGGCUUCCAAGAAGCAACCUACACUUUCAUGAUGUAACACUAAAGUUGAAUAUCGAUCUUUGGCUACUGUUGCCACUGAAAUCGAAUAUCUCUUUCUUUAUGACAACACAAGUGUCAUUCACUUAGUUCACAAUCUAGCUCUUCAUGCAUGUAUGAAACAUAUUGAGAUUGACUCCCACUACAUACGAGAAAAAGUUACUGUCAAUGCUCUUCACAUAUGACAUCUUCCUACCAAAAAUCAAAUUGCUUAUAUAUUUAGAAAGACUUUAUGGAAAGAAUCUUUCUAAGUAUUUUGUUACAAGCUUACCGUUCAUUAUCAUUGUCUACCAACCUUGAGAGGGGUAUCCUCACAAUUUCCACAAAUCAAGCCAAACAACUUCAAAAGAAUUAACAAUAUCUCAAGAAUCCAAAUCUUCAUAGUUAACCUCUAUUAUUUUCCUUAGAGCUCUUUCUCUAUAAACUUUUGUAUUUUCUUUUAGAAAUAUAUAUAUAUAUAUAUAUAUAUAUAUAUAUAUAUAUAUAUAUAUAUAUAUAUAUAUAUAUUAUUUUCUUUUAAAUGGUACUAUCUCUUUUUUAUAUUAAUCAAAACUUAAUAGUUUAAUUAGUUAUUGAUAAUUUAGAUGUUUAUGUAAUACUUUAUUUUACAAAAUUAAAAUUUUUUACUAUGGUAUUUUAAUUUUAUGAAAUAAAAAAUUUAUUAUUAUUUACUAAAAAUUCGUAAAUGUAAUUUUUAGUGACAAGGGUUAUUUUGUUAGAUAAAAUAAAUUCUAGUCUUUUCAUAUUAAGAAAAAAAUUAAAAAGCUACUUCAGUUUUUUUAAAUGUUUUUAUUCAAUGACAUCUUAUUCCAAUUUUUCCCCAUAAUAAAAAUAAAUCUUAAAUCAUUCUUGACAUAUUAGAAAAUUGAUAUGCAAAAGAUUCAUGUUUGGGAUGAGAAGCCCGCUUGCCAAAAGCGAGUGACGAGCACGGCCAGUCCAGAUCAUGGUGUUCUCUGUUGUCACCCUCUCACCCUGCUGGAAAGGGCCGUUAAUGAUUUGAUUGAGGUGCCUAAUUAUUAUUGACUAAUCCUGGAUUGACUAUUUCUUGGUAAUUAUCUGCAAGACAACACUUGUAGCCGCCUCCCAUUUGUCGCCUUCCCAAGCCUAAGGGUACGUCCAACACACUACCAAAUCUCUCCGCCAUUGAUUCAAGUUAUGAUGAGUUGCAAUUGGAUGCAUCUCACAAACGCCGAACGCAUGGAUAUUUCUUGUGGAGUAUAAAUUCCUUAAUAAUUUUUAAAUCAAUAUAUUAUUAUAAUAUAAUAUUUUUAAAUAUUAUAAUUAUUAAAAAUAUCUUUAAAAAAAGUUACAAAAUGAAAAUAAAUUUUUAAAGAUUAUGUAAGAUAGAUAGAUAUGGGCGGGGUCAGGGACUUUUGUUAGAGGUAAGCUGAAAAAUAUUAUAUUAUAGUGAAGGUAAUUAAGGGUAAUUAUUAUUAUUAUUAUUAUUAAAUAAUUAAAUAAUUUUAAAUAUUAAUUAUGAAAAUGUAUGAAAUAUGAAGAAUAUUUAAAAAAAGUUUUAGAUUUUAUUCAAAACAAAAAUUAUCAAGAACAUUUAAAGAAAAUUUUCAAAAUAAAAUAAAAAUAAAAUAGAAGGAAAAACCAUUAGAAAUUUUCAAUAAUUUUAAUAAUUUGGUAGUCGAAACCCUUAAAAUUAUUUUAAAGAAUUUAAUCAUUUUUGUUAUAAAUUUUGAUAUUUUUCAAAAGGAAAAGGUGUGCGCUUUUAUUGUCUUAUAACUUGAUUUUAUUUAUUUAUACCUUAAUCUUAUUUUUUGUACCUAUGUCAAAGGUUUUUUUUUUUAAUGUACUUUCAAAAGUGGGGAUUAAGAUUUUCAUAAAUAUCAAAUAAUAUCGUAUUUUUUUUCCUUUUUUCAAAUAACUAAAUAUAAGAUAGUUAAAAGUCUUUUACUUAAAACUAUAAUUUGGUUUAAAAGUAUUAUUUUUUUGCUAAAACAAUAAGACAAAAACUAAAACAAUAAUUUAUGUGGUAAAUUAUAGCUAAAACAAUAGCAGUUUAAAAGUAUUAUUUUUUUAUAAUUUGGUUAAUUCCAAUAAGACAAAAUCAUAAAAAAUAAAUGGGUUUAAUACACUUUGCCCCUUCAACCUAUCAUUUGUUUUGCACAUUAUCCCUUUAGGUUUAAAAUGAAACACAUUGCACCCCAUGCUUAUUAAAUUGCAGCACUCUACCUUAAUCGUUGAACAAUGUUAGCUUUAGUGGACGGAAAUAUCACGUGUUAUGCAAGUGACUAACUAAUGAAUGGUAGAUCUAGAGAAUCCUAACCCUGAAAAUAUCACGUGUUAUGCAAGUAAUUGACUAAUGAAUGGUAGAUCUGGAGAAUCCUAACCCCGAAAAAGCCCCAAACAACUCUCAGGCUUCAUCUUCGUUUGAAGCCUUAACCCAUUGAAACCCUAAGGCCCCAAAUACCUAAUACAAACAUCAAAAGGCUGAGAGUUCGAUUGAAAUGGAUUUUAACAGCAAAUCUUGUCAUUCCAUUAAUUAUAAAACAUGGAUUUCAUAGCUUAAUUCCAUCAAGGCCCCAACCACAACUUCUCAUCAAUUCAAAUUGUUCACAAAAAAUACAAAACUAAACCAAAUUGGGAGGGAGCCUUCAUCAGAUCUACAAAUUUCUAGGUAACACUGGUACAAAGCUUGCCUAAAAGAACUUACACCAUUUCUUUGUAGCAUGAUGACUAGAAGAGCCAAACAAAUUGCCCAUGGAAUGAUCAUCAACCAAAACAUACAUUUAACCCUUUUUUGAUAAACAAAUACUUCAUUUUCCCUUUUCUUUAGACCAUUCAACAAUCCAAGAAUGAUUUUCUUCGACCUAUCAUGGAGCAUUGUACAUGAAUAAUCCACAUCCUCCACAUCUCUUUACCAAAAAUUAAACACAUAUAAUAAUAAGAUGUCUACAAAGAACAAAUGACCAAGAAUCGAUAUAAAAAUCAAUACAUUAUUUAUCACAUCCCAAAAACCUUCUCAAUUAAUAGGAGGAUCCUCCAUUACUCUUGUAGCUAUGUUUCUUCACAAAGCUCUACUUGCCAGAUUCUAGUGCUUCAGAUUUGUUAGGGCUUUUAGGGUUUUGAUGGGUUAGGGCUUUGAAUGAAAAACAAAGACAAAGCUCUCUGUUUGGGUUUUUUUGGGGUUGGGAUUUUCCAAAUCUACCCUUCAUUACUUAGUCACGUGUACAACAUAUGAUAUUUCCAUCCACUAAAACUAACACCGUUCAACGAUCAAGGCAAAAUGUUGCAAUUUAAGAAGCAUGAGGUGCAAUGUGUUUGAUUUUAAACUUAAAGGGGCAAUGUGCAAAACAUAGGAUAAAUUGAGGGGGCAAAGUGUAUUAAACCAAAAUAAAUAUAAAAAAAAAUUGAAUAAACAAGAAAAAAUAAGUACUAAUAUCAAUUGAGAUUUUAUUUAUUUUUGUUAUAAAAUAUGAGAAUUUAUCAGGAACUUGUGGGUGAUCAUUCAUAUUAAUGUACAUCUUUUUGUGACUUCUUAUAAAAGGGUGAGACCUCUAAUGAAAGUUCAUCAUGUUUUCUUCCUAUAUUCUAAUUUCAUUUUUUUCAUUUUCUUUUCCUCCCACUUAUUAUUUUACAACAUGUUAUCAAAACGACGCUUUGAGUAUGUAAGAAAAAAAUAAGAAUGUUCGAGAUAAAAAAAAAUGAGAAGAAUUCAUCAAUAAAAUUUCUUAUAGGUAUGUAACCUUAUUUUCUUCAAACAAAAUAUGAAAAGUAGUAUGCAUUGUCUUCUAUUAUUAUAAUUUUUAUUUACUUUAUCUCAUAGCUAGAGGUUAUGUAAAUCAUAUUUCAUAUAAUCAAACUAAAAACUUGUAAUUGUAGAUAUUUUAAUUAUUUAAUAACUAAAAGCUAUAUAGAAAAUUUUCAUAACUAGAAGUUAUAAAAAGUAUGUACAAUUCUCAUAACCAAAAGUUAUAGAGUAAAUUACAAAAUCGCAAAUACAUAACCGAAAGCUAUGCAUAUGAUCCAUAAUUACUUUUUAAUUAUAUUAUAUAACUAGAAGUUAUAUAAAAUAACAUUAUAUAGCCAAAAGCUAUAUAAUGAAUAGUUCAUAACUUGAAGCUAUAUACAAAUUUGCAAAAUGAAUAAUUCAUAACUUGAAGCUAUUUACAAAUUUGGAUAAUGAAUAAUUCAUAACCUGAAAUUAUGUACAGAUCUACAUAAUGAAUAAUUCAUAACCUAAAACUAUGUACAAAUUUGCAUAAUGAAUAAUUAAUAGCUUGAAGCUAUGUGCAGAUUUGCACAUUUUUUGUUUUGACAAAAUAAUCAUAAUUCAAAGUUAUGAAAAACAUUGGCUUUUAAUUUUUAUUUCGUAUUCACGCAUUUUUCAUAACAAGAAAUUAUUGAAACAAUUUUUAUUAAUAAUUGUUUUAUAGACAGAAGAUAUGUAUACAAUUUCUAAUUUUCUUAUGUAAUCAGAAGUUAUAUAAAACAAAAUUAUCAAUUAACAACUAUGUAGCUAGAGGAUACAUGGACAAUUUUUAAUCUUGUUGUAUAACCAAAAGUUAUAUCAUAACAUAAUUGUCAAAUGUUUAAUGUUAUUAUAAUAUUACUGAAAUUUAAUUAUUCAUAACCUGAAACUAUGAAGAAAAAGUUAGUAAAUUAAUAAUUGUUAAAACUUGUAUAACCAUAAGCUAUAUGAAAAAAUGUUUUAUUAUAAACUUGUAUUAUAUAGUCAAAAGCUAUACAAAUAUUAUUACUCAUAAUAUGAAGUUAUGUAACUAAGAAAAUUAAUAUUAUUUGUACUAAUCAAAAGUUAUGUCAAAAUUGUUAAUAUGUACUUUCUUAUAGCUAAAAGUUAUAGAGAACAAAAUUGUUAACUAACAAUUGUGUAGAACUUUAUAAAAUUCAUGUAAUAAAAAAUUAUAAUGAAAUAUAUUAUAACUUGAAGCUAUGAUAACAAAAAUAUAGAUAAUAUUUAUAUAUUAUCAAAAUAUUAAUAUUUUAUACAUCAAAUUAUACAAAGAGAAAAAUGUUUGAUAGUUUUUAUAAAUUCAUAUUAUUAGAAGUUAUGUUGUUAUUAGUAGAAGUAUUUACAUGUAGAUAUAAAAUUUUGGGUUGCAUGAAAGUAUGAUAUUUAUACUUAAUAUUCUUGUGUUAUAGGUAAUAUUUUGAAAUAUUUUUUUAUUCUUCUCAUAAAAAAAUUCCCAUGAAAAAUGUCAUGUAAUAAGAAUAUUUUGUAAAUUUGGUAUAUAUAUUUUUGUGGGUGUUGCAAAUAAAAUAUGAGCUUGGUGCAAUUUGUCAAUGCUCUUUCGGGUUUUUCUCCUUGAUUGUUGCAAAUAAAUAAAUUUUCCUUUUCCUCGAGAAUUUUGCAAACCAAACAAAGGUGGAUUUGGACCGGCAUCAAGCCUUUUUGGAUCAACCCACAUGUCAACCUCAAAUGAACCUAAUUGAUGUUUAGAUCAGAAUUUUAAAGAACAUUUAUUAAUUAGAUUUUAAUGUAUGCUACGAAUAAUUGUUGGAAAUCACAGCCGACUCACCCAUGACUUGGCUGUUUCUGACUUGGAAUAUCUGGGCAUCCAUUGACUGACUUAAACAACCUACCCAUAUUUCUAGAAAAGUAAUUAGUAAAUAUGAUUUCUGGCACCCAUUGACUGACUUAAACAAUUUUUCCCCAUAUUUCUAGAAAAGUAAUUCAAAAGGAUGAUUACAAAAUAUCAGUUGCCCAUCUUGACCGCCGGUAGCAUCCUCCUCACUCACAAACCACAUGUUUUAAUUUCUAGUACAACUCAGCCUUUUGAACAAAUGAUUACAAAAUGUUUUAAGGUAAAAAUAAAAAAUAAAAUGCUCUUUAAAAAGACGAGUAUAAUAUAAAAAAUAAAUUUAUCUUCUGAAAAGAUGAGUUUGAUAAAAAAUAAAAAAAGUGUCGAAAAAAAUCACAUUUUUAUAUUUAUUUUUUAAAAUAAUUGUAUUUUAAUAAUAUUUAAAGAAAAAAAGCAUUUUUAUUAAGAAUAUUUCUUUGUUAAUUUUGUCUUUUUAAUGAAAAAAAUAAAAAGUUUUAAAAUAAAUUUUCCCUUCGUGGAAUAUGAGUUACGUGUCCCACAAGGCUGAUUAACUGAUUCACUCCGACACACCAUGUGGAAUGUUGUCCUAUGAAGCUUGAAGCUUGUCCAUAUUUCAAACAACCCGAGUCACAAUGGUUGAAAGGUCAAAAGCUCUAGGAUCGUAGGAUCAUAAUCUUCAGCCCCGAGAGCCUAAUUUUUCGGGUCAUCAUAGGGGACUCCUCUCUAUAAAUUCGAGAGGUGAUGAAGCAAAAAUCAUUCAACAAAAAUGGAGAGGAGAGGCAUAUGCAAGGUGGUGGUGUUGCUGUCUCUAGUGGCUUGUGCCGCUGCCCAGAGCGCCAGCAAUGUGAGGGCCACCUACCAUUACUAUAAUCCGGCGCAAAAUGGAUGGGACUUGAACGCAGUGAGCGCCUACUGCUCCACUUGGGAUGCCAGCAAGCCCUUGGCAUGGCGCAGCAAGUAUGGAUGGACUGCCUUCUGUGGACCUUCUGGUCCUACUGGCCAAGCUGCCUGUGGCAAGUGCCUUAGUGUAAGAUUCUAAUUAUCAAACAAUCUCUCUCUCUCUCUCUCUCUCUCUCUGUAUAUAUACAUGUAUAUAUAACCUGAACUAUUUGAGGUGUGCAGGUGACAAACACUGCCACAGGAACUCAGGCAACAGUGAGAAUAGUGGACCAAUGCAGCAAUGGAGGAUUGGAUUUGGAUUCCGGAGUGUUCAAUCAACUAGACACUAAUGGGGCUGGCUACGCCAAAGGUCAUCUUACAGUCAAUUACCAGUUUGUGAACUGUGGUGACUAAACCACUACUCCCCUUGUUCCUAAUAAUAAGAGAUUAUGGUGCAAAAAUAAAUAAGCAUGGAGUUAGCCGCUUCUACUGCAAUAAAAUGUUGUCAAACUUUGAGUUUGGCUUUGUAUGAAUUUGCAAGAGCAAAAAAUCACAUAUAAAUCUUUAUGAAUUCUGCUUUCCUCCUGCUUUCUUUUAACCAGCAAAGUUUUCCCCUUAUCCCAAAGGGUUUUUAAUUUUUUUUAAUACUUGAAAAUUUUUAUCCAAAAAAUUGAUUUUAAGUAAUAAAAAAAUUGAAAACAUUCUUUAAAAUCAUUUUCACACAAGCUCUUAGUCAUGUCCAAGUAUUAAAAAAUUAAGAAAAUCACUUUUAUGUUAGUUGAUACAACACGAUUUGAGCAUAUCAAUACUGAAAGGAACAGAUAUAUUUGACAAAGAAACAUCCAAAAAAAAUGAAAAAUUAUUAUCAAAAUUGAAGAAAAAUUGCCACCCAUAAUUGAUGUGACCUUUUAUAAUAAUUUAUAAAUUGAUUAUUAAUAUGUCAAUGAUGUAAUGCUUUUUAUUACGUCACCCGUAUUUAUAACAAAAUCAAACUCCAUAAAGCAAAAUUAAGAAUAAAUAAAGUUUAUUUUUCGUUCUCCUUAAUAAUAGUUUGUCGCAUUUAGUCAAAAGACUUUCUUCAAAUUGAUAAAUGGUAGUUUUUUUCAUUCAUACUUUCAUUCGUCCAUGUACAGAGUAUAUAUAGAGGGUAAUCACCAUUCUAAGAAUGGGAAAAAAUGAUACAAGGAAAGAAUGAUAUAAGGAAAUAACAACUAAUAUCCUAAUAUCUCAAUUUUCCUAAUAUCUCAAUAUUCCUAGUAUCUCAAUAUUCCUAAUAUCUCAAUAUUCAUAAUAUCUCAACUUUCCUAAUAUCUAAACAUUCCUAAUAUCUCAACACUAAAUGAUAUAAGGAAAGAAUGAUAUAAGGAAAGCAUUCCUAAUAUCUCAACACUCCCCCUCAAGUUGGUGCAUAGAUGUCACACAUGCCUAACUUGUCUAAAAAUUUUGAGAACACUUGACUUGAGACAACUUUGGUAAGGAUAUCGGCCAAUUGAUCUUCUGAUCGAAUCUUAGGUAAUUCCACAAUCUUAUCAUCCAACUUUUCCUUAAUGAAGAAUUUAUCCACCUCGACAUGCUUUGUACGAUCAUGUUGUACUGGAUUAUGAGCAAUGUCACAUGCGGCUUUAUUGUCACAAAACAAUCGGAUUGUUUGCCUAGAUAGGUAAACUAAAUCCUGUAAGAGGAGUCUUAGCCAUAAUGCCUCACAAAGUCCUAGAGUCAUACCUCUAAAUUCCGCUUCUGCACUUCAACGACCGACGACAUUCUGCUUCUUACUUUUCCAUGUCACAAGAUUACCACCUACAAAGGUAAAGUAACCAGAUGUAGAUUGCCUAUCAUCCACUGCACCGGCCCAAUCAGUAUCAGUAUAUACUUCUAUACUCUGAUGAUCAACAUUUUUAGCGAACAAAAUUCCCUUCCCAGGAGCAUUCUUCAAAUACCUCAAAAUACGCAUGACUGCAUUCAUAUGUUGCUCUCCAGGAUUAUGCAUGUAUUGACUCACUGCACUCAAUGCAUAAGCAAGAUCUGGUCUUGUAUGAGCUAAGUACAUUAAUCUCCCCACAAGUCUCUGGUAUCUUCCCUUAUCGAUUGAUACUUGAUUAGGCUCAACACACAAUUUCAAACCUUCUUCUAUUGGUGUAUUAACAGGUUGACACAAUGACUUCUUUAAUUUGCACACCUUCUGACAUUGCUUUUCUGACACCAUGCAUCCUGGUGGAAGAUCCAUAUAUACUUCUUCAGAUAACUCGCCAUGCAUAAAGGCAUUUUUCACAUCGAAUUGUUGUAAUGGCCAAUCUAGGUUUGCAGCUAAAGACAAUAAUACUCGAAUUGUGUUGAUCUUAGCUACAUGUGCAAAUGUCUCUGUGUAGUCAAUUCCAUAAGUUUGAGUGUACCAUUUUGCUACCAGUCUUGCUUUAAAUCGUUCAAUACUACCAUCUGCCUUGUACUUCACAAUAUAGAUCCAACGACACCCAAUUGGCUUCUUUCCUGGUGGACAUUCUACGAGUUCCCAUGUUUUAUUCUUUUGCAAUGAUUUCAUCUCUUCAUUCAUGGCUGCUUUCCACCUUGGAUCAGCUAAGGCUUCCUGUACACUGUUAAGAAUAGUUACAGUAGAUAAUUGAUUUACAAAUGACUUAUUUGAUUCAGACAAACGAUGGGUAGACACAUAGUUGCUCAUGGGAUAUUUGACUUUAGUAGACAAUUCAGAUUCAUAUGUGGGUUUAGGAAUACCUCUAUUAUGACGAUGUGGUAACCGUUUCAUGAAAGGAUCAUGUUCCAAAUUAAGAACACCCUCAACAGACGACGAUUGGUUUGGUAUUUCAGUGAAGACAUCUUCGGACCCAAAUUGUUGACCACUCAUAUCCAACUCACCCACUUCCUGGUUCACUAGUUCAGAUUGUCUAUAUUCAUCUUCCUCAGAGAUAUGAUAAUCAUAAUUGAGAGUUUGAAUUUCCUUAUGGUACUCCCCCUGAAGUUUAGACUCAGAUGAAAAAUACAUUGAAUCUUCAUGAAACACCACAUCCAUUGUAAUAUACAUUUGUCAAGUUGGAGGAUGGUAACAUCGAUAUCCCUUUUUGUGCAAUGCAUAUCCAACAAACACACAUUGCAAUGCAUGGGAAGUUAACUUGGUGCGUUGGUGCUUGUGUAGAUGCACAAAUGCCACGCAACUAAAAACACGAGGAGGUAGAUUUGGGACGGUUGGGGCAACUACGACAUUAGUAAGAGCUUGGAGAGGUGUUUGAAAGUUAAUUGAACUAGAAGGUACCCGAUUGAUCAAGUAUGCGGCAGAUGUGAUUGCUUCUCCCAAAUAAGAUAUCGAUGUUUUGGCUGCUAUCAAGGAAGCACGAACAACCUCUAACAAGUGUCGAUUUUUUUGUUCAGUGACUCCAUUUUGCUGGGGUGUAUUGGAACAAGUAGUCUGAUGAAUGAUGUCAUGUCCUUCCAAAUACUUUUGAAGAUCAGAACUUUGAUAUUCUCCACCAUUAUCACUACGCAGAACCCGAACCUUUGCAUUGUACUGAGUUUCAAUCAUUUUAUGAAUUUUUUUAAACAACAAGUUCACUUCAUCUUUGGUCUUCAUCAAGCAAAACCAUGUCAUUCUGGUACAAUCAUCAAUAAAAGUAACAAACCAACGUGAGCCACUCAAAGUUGGGACUUUGGAUGGGCCCCAAACAUCAGAAUGUAUAACCAUAAAAGGAAAUGAACUUUUAUUCAAAAUUAACGGAAACGAAGCACGAUGGCUUUUAACCAAUUCACAAAUAUCACAACGGAAACCAGAAAUAUCACUCUUUGCAAACAAACUAGGAAACAAUUUUUUAAAAUAACCAAAUGAAGCAUGUCCUAGACGUCGAUGCCACAACCAAAUUUCAGACUUUUUCUUCUCCCCCUCAAAUCCAUCUGCCAUCAAGGCUUGUUGCAACUUAUUUGAAUCCUUUGAUUGCAAGUCCAAGUAAUAGAGUUUUCCCUGUUUCAUACCACAACCAAUCGUCUGUCUUGUUUGGAUGUCCUUAAUCACACAAAAUUCAGGCCAAAAAAUGACAAUACAAGAUAAGACUGUAGUGAUUUGAGAAACUGACAAAAGAUUGUAAUCUAAAGAUGAAACAACUAAAACAGAAUCCAAAUUCAAAGUAUCAGUAAGAGUUAAGGAUCCUUCCCCAAUGACUAGGGUUGUGUUACCAUUGGCUGUGGAAACAAUUUUUUGUGAGGAAGGUCUAAGGGGUGAAACCUGUCUAGAAUCAAAAGUCAUAUGAUCUGUAGCACCAGAAUCAAUUAUCCAUGCACUAUUAAUAACAGGUGUAAAAGUAUUUAAAAACUUACCACCAUGAUCAGUAGCGGCUACCAAUGCAGAGGCUUUCUCAGCAACAUUAGCCUCUGUUUUUAUUUCUGCAACAGUUGUAGUCGAGGUUUUCUUGGAAUCCUUCUUCCGUUGAUCACGAUUAUUAUAAUUAAUAACAAAGUGUUGAUAGCCUAAACAUGAUCUAAAGGUCCAUGGUUCAAACCCUCGGUUCCUUAUUGUUUUCCUGGUCAUACCAAAAGUCGUUGCUUUGAAAUUGUGGGAUAUCCAAACUGGUGGGACCAGUCUUAUUGAAGUGAGUGCAUUUGAAGGUUGACUUAUCAAUAUUAGGGCUUGUCUUAGGAUGGUUGAUCGCUGUCGGACUACCAUAGCGACAAAAUAUCCAGGAUUUCAGUUCCCUAACUCUGAUACCAUCUUCAAAUUGAUAAAUUGUAGUUUUUUCAUUCAUACUUUCAUUCGUCCAUGUACAAAGUAUAUAUAGAGGGUAAUCAUCAUUCUAAGAAUAGGAAAGAAUGAUAUAAGGAAAUAAUAACUAAUAUCCUAAUAUCUCAAUUUUCCUAAUAUCUCAAUAUUCCUAGUAUCUCAAUAUUCCUAAUAUCUCAAUAUUCAUAAUAUCUCAACUUUCCUAAUAUCUAAACAUUCCUAAUAUCUCAAAACUAAAUGAUAUAAGGAAAGCAUUCCUAAUAUCUCAACAAACUUUAACUAAUUUAUUUUUUUACAUUUAGUCAAAUUUAUUUUUUUACAUUUAGUCAAAACUACAUGUAAUUAAUUUUUUUAAUUUAAAAAUUGAAGGAAGUGAAACUAUUUUAAGGUUAUUUAAUUAAAAGGGUAAUUGAAAAUUUAAUUUUGAAAAUCUAACCCUUCAUUUUUUUUUAGUCUUAUUUUAAUAAAAAUGUCCUUAUUGUUUUCUUGUAACAAUAAAAAUUUCUUUUAAAACAUAUUGUAAAUAUUUGAAACAGUUAAGGACUUUUAUGUCAAAAAUAGGUUACUUAAAAAAACAUGAAAAUUGAUAAAUUCAUAAAUAUGGAGAGAAUUUUAUCCCUUUUAAUAAAUUAUUUUAAUAUUUAUUUUACUUUCUUUAAAAAAAAAACUGUAAUCUAUAUUUAUAUAUAAAAAUUCCUACAUUUUAUACCAAGCUUCUAUGUUUAAAAACAAAAAAAAUAGAGAAUACAUCCAAACAUCACUUUAAGUUUUAUCAUAUUUGAUUUUUCUUGACAUUUUUCAUGAGAUUUCAAAUUCUUUUUCCCUUGAUCUCUACAAAUAUCUAUAAUCCAAACAAGAUUUAUAGUGAUUUAGGGAAUCCAAACACAACUUGUACUAGAGGUGUGGGACAAUGAAAUCGAUUGGCCAAUCUGGUCUUUCCUAAUCCUAGCUAAGACCCUUUCUCAUUCUUCCCUAAUUACAAACAAUUCGAGCUGGAGCGACAAGGACGGACCACCACUACUUCUUCCAGAGCCAUUGAUUGAAUUUUCUAGAGAAGAAGGUAACAUGUACAACAUUAAUGUGCACGGUAGAAAUUCUGAUUUGUGAGUGGUAAUGGCGACUGCCGUCUUUUAAUUAGGAUUGUCAGGGGGACAAGCCUUGUUUUAAUGACCAAAUAGUACAUCAUGUUAAAUGUUGAUCAUUAAACCUUUCCUUCAAGAAUUUUCAGAUCUUCAACUUACUGUCUUCUAAAGUCUUCAAUCUUUGAAUCUAGGCUUGAAUAGCUCCUGACGAUUUGAAAUUCGUUUCUUUUAGGUUUUGAGAAAGUAUUAAGAAAAAAAAUAUAUUCAAGAAAAUAAUUUUUUUUAUAUUUCAUUUCUAUAUUUUAAAAUAAUUUAUUGAUUUUGAAUCAAUUUUUUUUAUUUUUCUUCACUUAUUAUUUUCUUUUACUUUUUCCCUUUAUUUUAUUUCCAUCACAUUUUUCCUCAAAAUUUCCAAAAACCAAACAUAGUCUUAGGGUAUGUUUGGUUCCAGAGAUUUUGAGAGAAAAUGCAAAAUAAAAAAAAACAUAAAAUAAAAAUAGAGGAAAAAAAGUGAAUGAAAAUAAAAAAUAAGUUUAAAUUUAAUAAAUAAUUUUUAUAUGUUUAUUUGAACUCAUUUCACUUAUUUCUCUUUUUUAUAACAAUAUUAAAUAAUUUAAAAACAUAUAAAAUUUUAAUCAAUUUUAAUUAUAUAUAUAUUUUUUUUUAUUUUUCACAGUAAAACAAAACAUAAGAUAGUAUUUUUUUUUUUCUCUUUUCUUAGUAUUUUUUAGUAACCAUUUUUUUUUUUUUUUUUUGAGGACACACUUUUUUAGGGAUUGACAAAGACAUAGGGAUGGUUUUUCCCUCACUUCUAAUUCUUAAUUAAAGUUAAUGCUUGAGGAGUUUUUGACAAUGAUUUAUAUAGUUUUUUAUGUUAAUUUUUUUAUUUUUUAUUUUUUAUCUUGGAGUAUUGGAAGAGUAUUAAUGAUGACAACAGGGCAUAUUUUUCCAUGCGCCCCAUCCUCCUGGGUUUAGUCCGGAUUUGAGAAUUCUUUUAAAACUUGAGAUGGGUUCAGAUAUGACUUUAUCCCAUCCCGUCCAAUUAUGUAUAAUAUUAAAUAAAAAAAUAUUUUAAUUGAUGUUUUUCAUUUUCAACUUUUUUUCAUAUAUAUAUAAUAUCACUUUUCAUAAAAAGAAAUUAUAAACAUUUAUAAUAUUUAUUUAGUUAUAAACUGUGUUUAUUUUUAAUAGAAUCUAAAUUUUAAAAGUAGAAAAAAAUUAAAAAUUGAAAAAAAAAAAUUAAACAAGGCAAACCUGCCUUGUUUAAAAAAAAAUUGUUGAUAGGGACGACAAUUAAUUUAAAUAAACAAGAAGGGUGGGAUGGAGUGAGCCAUCUCGGACUCACCAUUUUGUCAUCCCUAAAGAGUAUACUUAGAUAAUUUUAAAAUUAUUUUUAAUGAAAACUAAUAUUUAUCUUUUUAACUAUCAAAUUCACAAUUUUAUUUACUAGAAUGGUUUACUUACUUCAUUUAAUUUGAAGAUAAUUUAUUUUACUCCAAUAUGGUUCCCAUGUGGAAUAAAUUUUAAUCUAAUUUAAGGGAAUUAUUGUGUAAGGAUAAAUUUUAUUUUGUCACUAUCUCAUAUUAUAAGUAUGUAACAUAGUAAUUUUUUUAAAAAAUAUUUGGAUAAAAGAUGAAAUAAUUUUGUAAAUUUAGUCCUUCCCAUGUUUUUUUUUUUAAAGUAUCUCAUUUUUUACAUAAAUGUAAUUUGUCAUUUGUCAUUUGAAGUAUUUACACGUAAAUUUUUUUUUUUUAAAUGUUAUUUCUACAAGAAAAUAAUGAAGACAAUUUUACCCAAAUAAAACUAAAAAAAUGAUAAAAGGUUAAAUUUCAAAAAUUGGGUUUUUAAAUACUUUUUUAAGCAAAUAACCCUUUUUUAUUUGGCCAUGAAUUAACAUAUGUUAUUUCAUAAGUUGUCCUUGGAUUACACUUAGGUGGUUAAUAAAUGAAGAAUUUAAAAAUAAAUGAGUAUUAAUUUAACUAAAGUUUAUCACAUUUGAUGUUUCUUCAUAUUUUAAAUGUGAGAUUUUGGAUGAUCUUUUCCCUCUGCAACCCAAACAAGAUUUUAGGGAUUUAGAGAAUCCAACACAGCUUUGUACCGAUUUUCAUAGAUGUGGUCAUAUGCAGGUAGGGUGGGACAAUGAACCCACCAGUCUGACUUUUCCUAGCCAGGGACCUUUCUCAUUCUUCGCUAACUACAAACAAAUCUAGCUGGAAUGAUAGAGACCAUAGAUGCUUCUUCCACAUCCAUUCAUUGAAUUGUUUUUAAUAUUUCAUGAAGAAUUAUGUUUUAAGGUGAGACCCGAUAAUUGAUCCAACAUCCUCGUAUCCUUAUAUUUGAGUUCAAGACCUAAUGGUGAAUUGAAAGUUAAAUCGAAGAACAUUAAUUUUCAAAAUUUCUUAAAUUGCCUUUAUGGAAGAAGGAAAAAAAAAAAAAAUUAUGUUUCCACCUCUCUUUCAUUCUCUCUCUCCAUUCACUUUCUCUCUUGUUCGUUCACCUCGCCUUUCUCUCACAUAUUUAUUCGUCGGAGUCAUGGGAUCAUGUAGAUUGUUGCUAGUUGAGGAGGUGGCACCAUUUCCAUCAUUCAUUGUUCUCCCAAAAAUCAUAUCCAACCAAUUAAAUAUUGGAGAUGAAUAGUUAAAAACUAUUAUUACCAAAUGCAUUUUUUAAAUAACUCAUAAGUGUUUUUUGUCUAUAGAAUAUAUAAUAAAUAUUUUUUAUAAACACCUCAUAAAAUAUUAUUAUUAUUCUUAUUCUUAUUCUUUAUAUAUAUAUAUAUAUAUAAACUAUUUUUUUAUAUAAAUAUUUUUAAGAUUAUAAACAGUUAUUUAAAUAUUUUCUUUAUUUAAGGUUACAUUUAUUUCAUGCAAAGAGGUAUAUAAAGAGAAUAUAAUGGAGCACAAAUUAGAUGAAAAUCACCUUAAAUAGGGAUUUAAUAGAAAACAUGAAAUUAUGAGAAAAAAAAUAAAUGAAAUUUAAGAUAAAGAAUCUAAGAAAAUAAAUUAAAACUAAUGACAUAAAAAUCAUAAAAUCUUCAAAAUUAUAAUUACAACUAAAAAUUUUAAAUUUAAUAACUCGAUAAUUUAAAUUAAUGAUUUUUCUAUUAAAAAAAAGUACAAAUGUUACAAAAAUAUUUUUCGUUCAUUUUUAAUUCUAUUUAAAUAUGAAUUUUUAAUCUCCGCUAAAAUUAUUUUUAUAAAGGUAAAAUAGUAAUAUAUAUGUAAUAAACACUUUAAAUAUGAUUAAUUUUAAUUUUAUUUUCUAUGUUUUAAUUUUGGUAGAGAAGGUCUUAAUGACAUAGUUUAAUGAAAAAUAUUGAUAAUUUGUCUUCAACAGUUAUUAUAUGUUGUUUAUAUUGUUUUAAGUCAUUUGAAACAAUAACACUAAUGUGUUAUUCAUUUACGUCAAUUUGAUUUCACAAAAAAUGUAGGACCUAAAUAUUGUGGUUAAUCCUCCUUCAUCGGGGAUGAAAAUAUGCUAAGAAAUAAUAUUGUUAAAACUACUUAUAUGAAAUAUGCAAUUACAAAUUUUGGAUAAUGAAAUUUAAAAUUCGAAUUGAAAUAAUUUUAGAUGACAAGAAAAAAAAUGGUUCAAAAUCGAUUAAAAUUCUACACAAAUAGUAGUUUUGUACAUCCCUUGUACAAUUAAUACAUUUACAUCGAACCGUUAAUGUAACAUUUUUGCACAAUGGUGCAAAUUUCAUAUAUUUGUAUGAAUAAUGUAUUCAUAUAGAUAUGUGGAUCAUGUUUCCAAUAAUUUGGUUCAAAAAAAGGUGAAAGACUUAAAAGAAUAAAUUUUUUCUCCAAAUAUUAUUAAUGAGGUAAGUAUUAAAAUUAUCGUACGUAAAUUAAAUAAAGACUAUAAGAUGGGUGUGUGAUGAAGGAACGUGUAACAUGAGAGUGUAAUGGGGUGAUAAGAAAAAAAAUGGAUUGAUCGAAAUCCUUCAAUAAAAGUAUUUGUUACAUCUCACAUUAGAUAAAAGAGAAAUUUUUUGGCAUUAUAUAAAUAUGAGUCGUUACAUUAAUCCUCUUUAAUAUUUUUUAUAUUAUAAUCAAAUAUGAAAAAUCAUUUGCAAAUCAAAUUUCUAGGCUUUAGUAAUUUAAUUAGAUCAAAAAUUAAUAUUCAUGUCUGAAACUUGCACGUGCCUCGCAUUUAAUAUUUUGUGAGCCAUAGUUAUGACGUGUAUAAUCAAUGAAUCGAUAAAUGUACAUGUCUAGAGCAUCGGUAGUGGAGAUAGACUAUACUUUAUGACAACACAUUUUAAUUGCCCAUUUUGAAUUAAUUUUAAUUAUAAAUUUCAAUGUAAUGAUUUUUUUGCUUCUUAAAAAUAUGUUUGAUUUAAAAAAAAAUCAAAAAAAAAAUGAAAGAAAAUAUCAGUGAAAGAAAGUUUAAAAAUAGAUCUAAAAUUAAUAAAUUUUCUUUAUAAUUUAUUUUAACUUUUUUUUAUAUAUAAAAAUUCAAUAAUUUGAAAAUAUAUAAAAUUUUAAUUAAUUUUAAUUAUAUUUUAUUUUCUUUUGUAUUUUUAUAAUAAAAUUAAAAAAAAAAAUCAUUUUUUAAUGCUUUUUCAGAAACCAAAAAUAGCUUUAAAAAAAGGAUGUUAGUUCUCAUGUUGACAUUCAAACAAAUAGCUAUCUCAAGACCAUUGAAUAUGUCUUAAUUGGCUUAUCCAGAAGGUUUUAUUUCAUCCACCCAAAGUGGGUUGUUGCCCCCACUAACUCGUCCCUAUUACAUUCAACUCAUGGAUAUGAAAUUCAAAUUGAAUUCCAUAACCUCUACCUCACAUCCUUUUCAAACCACAAGCCACUUCCAUAUAAACUCAGUGCUGAUACACCAAAAAUCAUACAACCAAAAUGGAGGGGAAAAUCAUAUACAUGGUGGCGGUGCUGCUAUCUUUAGUGGCUUGUGCCGCAGCCCAACAGUGCGGCCGCCAGGCCGGUGGCCGGACUUGUGCCAACAACCUCUGCUGCAGUCAGUAUGGCUACUGCGGAACAACGGCUGAGUACUGUUCUCCAUCCCAAAGCUGUCAAAGUAACUGCCAAUCCGGCGGAGGUAGCAGUGGUGGCGGCGGCACAGGUGCUAGUGCAAGUAACGUGAGGGCUACUUACCAUUACUACAAUCCGGAGCAACAUGGAUGGGACUUGAAUGCAGUGAGCGCCUACUGCGCCACUUGGGAUGCCAACAAGUCCUUGGCAUGGCGCAGCAAGUAUGGGUGGACUGCUUUUUGUGGACCUGCUGGCCCUACUGGCCAAGCUGCCUGUGGCAAGUGCUUGAAGGUAAGAUCAAUCAUAUGAAACCGGUUCCUCAAUUUCUCAUGUAUGUUUGUUUUUUCUUAACAUUUUGUUGAAAUUUAUAUGUUUUUAUAAAAUUUAAUCACAUUUAGUGUGAUAUCCCACGUUGAAUAAGUACGAGCUUAUUUUAAUCUUGUACACACAUUUUAAAAUCGUGAGGUUCAUUUGGAUGAACAGCAGACUACAUGGAUGAAUACGGGUUUUGAAAUCUUUAUAAUAAAAAUUUUCAAGUGUGAGAAAUAUUAAAAACACUUUAUAAACUUACCAUCAAACACAUUCUAAACUUGUUUAUAAAUAGUACCAUGAUUGCUUAAUCUAAUCAUUCUUUCUCGAAGUGCUGGAGCUUCUCCAUACCUCUGUUAUUUGUUUUCCGGGUCAAAUUCUUCUUGGUAUCCAUCUCUAUCCUGAAUUUGGAGGGUCCAGUAGCGAGAAACUCUAGUAAUUUCUUAGAAAAAAAGAAACUAUUAGUAAUUAAAGCCAGUAAUUCAAACUACAAUAUCUUUCGCAAAUAUUUAUUUAGACAACAAUUUUAUUUUUAU